rnacentral:rRNA from 1 species
UACAGAGGUCCCGAGCGUUGUUCGGAUUCACUGGGCGUAAAGGGUGUGUAGGUGGCGCGCUAAGUCGGGUGUGAAAUUUCGGAGCUUAACUCCGAAACUGCAUUCGAUACUGGCGUGCUUGAGGACUGGAGAGGAGACUGGAAUUCAUGGCGUAGCAGUGAAAUGCGUAGAGAUCAUGAGGAAGACCAGUGGCGAAGGCGGGUCUCUGGACAGUUCCUGACACUGAGACACGAAGGCCAGGGGAGCAAACGGG